AUUAGAUACCCUGGUAGUCCACGCAGUAAACGAUGAAUGUCAGCUGUCCGGGACUUCGGUCCUGGGUGGCACAGCGAAAGCGUUAAACAUUCCACCUGGGGAGUACGCCGGCAACGGUGAAACUCAAAGGAAUUGACGGGGGCCCGCACAAGCGGAGGAACAUGUGGUUUAAUUCGAUGAUACGCGAGGAACCUUACCCGGGCUCAAACGUGACUGGAAUGUCCGCGAAAGCGGGCAGCCCUUCGGGGCCGGUUACGAGGUGCUGCAUGGUUGUCGUCAGCUCGUGCCGUGAGGUGUCGGCUUAAGUGCCAUAACGAGCGCAACCCCUACCGACAGUUGCUAACAAGCGAAGUUGAGGACUCUGUCGGGACUGCCGGCGCAAGCUGCGAGGAAGGCGGGGAUGACGUCAAAUCAGCACGGCCCUUACGUCCGGGGCGACACACGUGUUACAAUGGCGGGUACAGCGGGAGGCCAUGCGGCGACGCAGAGCGGAACCCGAAAACCCGUCUCAGUUCGGAUUGGAGUCUGCAACCCGACUCCAUGAAGCUGGAUUCGCUAGUAAUCGCGCAUCAGCCACGGCGCGGUGAAUACGUUCCCGGGCCUUGUACACACCGCCCGUCAAGCCAUGGGAGCCGGGAGUGCCUGAAGUGCGUGAGCGCGAGAAGCGCCCUAGGGUAAAACCGGUGACUGGGGCUAAGUCGUAACAAGGUAAC
rnacentral:rRNA from 1 species